CAAAGAGACCCACGAGCUGUCCCACGGGACCAGACCUACAGCAGACUCUUCACAGCUCUCACUCCCUCCCAGCCCACGAUGCCCUUUCUUCCAUUGGCCGCUGCAUUCCUUGCGGGAGUCAUCGUAGGAGCUGCAAUUGUAGCAGCAGCAAAGAAUAAGAAUGUGGUCUUCAUUAUGAAUUCCUAUGGUCUGUUAUUCCGUACUGGGGAUGACGUAAAGGCCGACGGUCUGAGCAGCAGCUCAUGCUGUGCAGUCCAGAAGAAGGACUGAUGACCACCACCAGAAACACAUUUCCUUCCUUCCUUCCAAGGAGCCUGAUUUGUGCCUUCCCAGUGCAGGAACAGGAAAGCCCCCAGUGACCUUCAGCUUCCCGGUUAACAGA